GACGGAGGCCAUUUUUUGGCAGAGCAUUUCCUAGAACGUUUAAAAUCUCCUUUUUUCGUGGAAAUAUUAAUUCGUUCCUGCUUUUGCCUAAAAGAGCGCGGGGUGAGGACACGACCAACGGUCUUGUAUGAUCUGGAAGCUAAUCGAUUUAAAGUUUAGUCCGUUGCCACGUAUAUAUAAAUAUAUAUUCUGGUUGCAACGCAUCGUAACAUAUCUUCUAGACUUUGAGAGCAGUUCCGAGAGUCGUUUCCCACUUCGUCCAGUGUCCGCCAGAAGGAAACUCCAAGCGAAAGAAAAGUGGAGGCCCCAGUUCAUCAUCAGUGGGUGCUUGUUUAUACCCUCACGCGUGAUACGUAAUAAAACUACCAUAGAGGUCAAGGAUAAAAAAGCUGUAGAGCUGAAAAUAAAACAAUUUCAACAAAUAAUAAAUCUAAUAAAAGCUGGCUUUAAGUAAAAUAAGCAGUGCAGACCAGACUGAUAAAUCAAAAUAAAUGAAAUGCAAAAAGAUCAACCUUUUUUGUUAGAAAAUUCACUCGAUCGAAGUCAAUAAUCUUCAAAGAUUAACUUUAUGCUUCAAAAUCACCCAGAAAAGAACGACCGAGCUGGCUGUGUAAUCCACUUCAUAAAUCACUGUGACGUAAGAAUUUUGAUGAAAACAAAAAGUGCUCUUUUUAAUUUUCCCUGAAAAUUCCGAUGGACGAGUCCUCAAGAAUUGUAAGGCUGGAUUUCCACUUUUUCCAGAAAAUACAUUAAUAGAUAUUAGUAUUCUAGUUGUCGACUAGGAUGCACAGAAUUAGUAGACGCAAUCUACGUAGGGCUUGAGUCCGCUUGGAAUGUUGAUUCAACCAUCCAACCUUUUCAAACGCGAGCCGUCCAUUUUUUGUCGAUCUCAGUCUCUAAAGUUAGCUGUAUUAGACCCGUAACGUUUGGCUAGGAAACCAAAUCCAAUUUUAGCCAUUGAACCAAUAAACGACCAACAAUGGAUUUGCAGGUCCAGUAAAAGUAAGGGAACGAGAUAGAGAAAUUAAUUUUCCGUUGUAGCUCAAGAGAUAUGACGGAAUUGAUACGAUUUCUAUCGGUUUUGUUGAGGAAUAAACUUGCAUAACUUGGAAUAUCCUAGAACGAAGUGACUGUAGACUAAGCAAGAUUAUGCUAAGAGCCAAUGAGAACUCAAAGUAAAACCGAGCAAACUGCAUAACGCGCGGGAAAACGCGGGCGACUGAGUCGUAAUUGGUUUUGGUCUUGCAUCUGAUUGGUUGAGAAAGGGCCAAUUACAGAGCAAAGUUACGCAUAACGAGAUAAAUCCUGGAUUACUUUUGACAUUCAGUUUAAAAAUGCUCUUGGCCAUUAACUCGAUUUCUUAUCAACAAACGAAAUCCUGUCAUCAUCAUAAAAUGUACUAUUUUUGAAGUUUAAAACGUUUGAGAUCGAGGUACGUAUAUGUGACACUAUAAUUUAUGGUAAAAAAUUGAACAAAGUGAAACUGCCUCUCCGAAUAAUAAGUUUAUUUAGUUGAUACAAAGUCAAAAGUCAUAUCGUUAUCAUUUUAAAGUCCUUCCAGACUAUAUCAAUAACAGUCACUAUAAAUAGAUGAAUCACUGAUCAUUAAAAUAAAUGGCAUUAGAUGCACUUAAAUUGCGAUCAUGUUAUUUUAAAUCUGAACUACACAUCUGCAUAAACAUAAGUACGUAUUUUCACUUCAAUGUCAACAUUUUUAUAACAAAAAUUAGAGAUUUACUUUAUCUCUUUUUUUAUUUUAAAAAAUGUUUCUUGAGAAGUAUCAGGAAUAUUGUUGUAACUCCAGUCUGGACAAAAACUAACCUAAUGGCCUUUGAUUCUUAAACCCUCGGCAAAUAAAAAGCACCGGGAGGGGGGAGUGGAAUGGGAAAGUAAGGUAUUAAAUUUCUGCAUGGGGAGGCCCCCUCCCCGAGGUGCAAGUACCGUCCUCUUUUUAUAAACCGAUUCCUCUGAAAAUAUAACUUCUUUAGCAUAAUCAUACCUCUUUCACAAGCAAGCUUAACAGCACUUUUUCAGAGCCCUUCAAAUGACGCGUACGCACGAUAUUUCUGGAGAAAAUCUAAAGCCCUUAUGAAUGCCUAAAUGAUAAUUUUCGUACUCUUUGGCGCAGUUAGAGCCUGAGAAGGGUACUCUUUUAAGGCGGAGCCCUCCUGUGCAAGCCAUUUAAAGGAUUACUCCCUGGGAAAUUGCUAUAUACUGUCCUAGCAUGAUAUGUCUUUCCCUUAAGCCUGUGACACCCGUAUUAUAAUGUACAUCCUCCUCAAAUUAUCAAUACACUGUUAAAGUUUCAAUCACCUUGUGGGGUAUCAUCAUAAUAUACCGCUAAAUUCUCCCAACUAACUUAGAAGAAAUUUUAUCGCCGCGAUAAGCGAGUAUGGCGAAUUUGAUCAUGGAAGUUACAUUGAAAAAAGCUAGUUGUUCUCCUUCUGGAGUAUUGGAUUCAGAAAAUACGCAAAAACCAUAAUAAGAUUUCUGCCUGGUUCUGCAUCCUUUUAGUCUUCACAUUAAGUAACCUAAGAAAAUCAGAGCUCUGACAAUUCUGUUUUCAGUAUCCACUGGAGACUGGGAAAAAGAAUACAUAACAUGCAAAAUAUAUUACAAAAAUGUCGUACAUCAAUGUUUCUGUGUCUUGGUUAACCUCUAUUUCCUUUUGCUUAUAUAUUAUUUAUCACUGAAGUGAUUGAGAAAGCUAGUCCUCUGCGAAAUGCAUUGGACGAACACCUCCGAAGCCAAUUCACAUUACACUUCAAAAUGUUCCUUCAUGUCUCGAUCUCGUUAGGAGUAACCACACCAUCUUUGCUUGGCGCGAUUCGAUGCUCAUUUUUCUUGCUUAUUUUUCGGUAAAGAACUGCUAGAUCAGUUAAGAUUAGGUUCAGGAAGUGGAGAACCCAGAAGGGAAAUGAUGGGGUGAUCAUCGAAAAUCCGUGAUAAAUCUGUAUCAAACUGCCUCUAAUUUGCGUUUUGGAGCGCAUUCAAAUUCAAAGCCUUUGGUAGGUAACACCCUUCACGUUACUCUGACUACUUACUCUUGGCACUGGUUUUGCUUCAACAACAACCCAACGGAAAGUGCCCCACACCAUUGAAAAGUCUCAAUGCCGAGGUUUUAAGCCUGUAAUACUCUAACAGCCAUGGUUUCAA